UAAACAUCAAAGUUGACCGACGUACGAA
rnacentral:sRNA from 1 species